rnacentral:rRNA from 2 species
AUCAGUAGCUGGUCUGAGAGGAUGAUCAGCCACAUUGGGACUGAGACACGGCCCAAACUCCUACGGGAGGCAGCAGUGGGGAAUAUUGGACAAUGGGCGCAAGCCUGAUCCAGCCAUGCCGCGUGUGUGAUGAAGGCCUUAGGGUUGUAAAGCACUUUUGUCCGGGAAGAUAAUGACUGUACCGGAAGAAUAAGCCCCGGCUAACUUCGUGCCAGCAGCCGCGGUAAUACGAAGGGGGCUAGCGUUGCUCGGAAUCACUGGGCGUAAAGGGCGCGUAGGCGGACUCUUAAGUCGGGGGUGAAAGCCCAGGGCUCAACCCUGGAAUUGCCUUCGAUACUGAGAGUCUUGAGUUCGGAAGAGGUUGGUGGAACUGCGAGUGUAGAGGUGAAAUUCGUAGAUAUUCGCAAGAACACCAGUGGCGAAGGCGGCCAACUGGUCCGAUACUGACGCUGAGGCGCGAAAGCGUGGGGAGCAAA